UACGUAGGUGGCAAGCGUUGUUCGGAAUUAUUGGGCGUAAAGGGCGCGUAGGCGGUUUGUUAAGUCGGUUGUGAAAGCCCGGGGCUCAACCCCGGGCCUGCAUUCGAUACGGGCAGACUAGAGUUCGGUAGGGGAGUCUGGAAUUCCUGGUGUAGCGGUGAAAUGCGCAGAUAUCAGGAGGAACACCGGUGGCGAAGGCGGGACUCUGGGCCGAUACUGACGCUGAGGAGCGAAGCGUGGGAGCAAACAGG
rnacentral:rRNA from 1 species